rnacentral:rRNA from 1 species
GACGAACGCUGGCGGCGUGCUUAACACAUGCCAGUCGAACGGAAAGGCCCUGCUUGCAGGGUGCUCGAGUGGCGAACGGGUGAGUAACACGUGGGUGAUCUGCCCCUUACUUUGGGAUAAGCCUGGGAAACUGGGUCUAAUACUGGAUAGGACCAUGCUGUAGGUGGUGUGGUGGAAAGAUUAGUUUCGGUAAGGGAUGAGCUCGCGGCCUAUCAGCUUGUUGGUGGGGUAAUGGCCUACCAAGGCGUCGACGGGUAGCCGGCCUGAGAGGGUGGACGGCCACUGUGGGACUGGGAUACGGCCCAGACUCCUAGGGGGGGCAGCAGGGGGGAAUAUUGCACAAUGGGGGGAAGCCUGAUGCAGCGACGCCGGGUGGGGGAUGAGGGCCUUGGGGUUGUAAACUCCUUUCAGCCAGGACGAAGCCCUUGUGGUGACGGGAGUGGUAGAAGAAGCACCGGCUAACUACGU